rnacentral:lncRNA from 10 species
GAAAUCUGUUAACUGGUUGGGAUCGGAUGAAAUGAGACUUGCUGGCAGAGCCUCCCUUCCAGAAAGCAGGCUCCUACACGUGAGGCCUCGGUUUACCUGGGCGGUACUGACCAUCUCCCCAGUGCCCCUGCCUGGGUUGAAUGACUCUGAGAGGAGCCACUGGUGGUAAAGAACCCCCCAACUCCCGCUGUCAGGAAUUGUCACCAGCUGCCACCAUAAGUACCACAGCGCUGCAGCUUAGGGGUAGACCCCUUUUUACACAUGGAGAAACUGAAGCUCAGAGACGUAAAUGUGCCCAGUGUCCUGCAGAGAGUGAGACAGGUCAGGGACGCCAACCCAGAGCUGCCUGGCUCCGAAGUCUAUGCGGCUGCUCCCAAGGCCCUGAGCUGUGGGCUGGAAUUUCCCUGUAAGGACAGGGUCGUAAGUGACAGCCCCCAGUGCUCGCAGAGGCAAAGGGCCAGAGCCUGAUUUGCAACGUGCGCCUCGACAGCCAUGAAGUGCUCCAGGGGGGCAGCCUUUCCCAUGCCUUCCUGGGGCCACAGAGUGCAGUUGAGCUCAGCAGCUUGGAGGAGGUGCAGGGGGCCGGCCUCAGCCCCUGGGUCUCCAGGUGUGGGGACCUACAUCAGGAACAGGACAGUCUUUGCAGUCCCAGCUGCUCUGUCCCCAGAGCUGGGGAGGGGAGAAGACAGAGCUGGACAAAUGGCUCAUCAGAUCCCAGAGAGCCCUGGAAGGGGAGGAAGGGGCCUUCCCGGGCCUUGUCUGGAUAGCUCAGUCCUCCCAGGAGGGGAAGAAACCAGCCUCCGCUUGCAGAUUUCACCUCCCUGUGAACUCCCAAAGGGCGGGAGGCCAAGCCGCAGCUGAGGUCAGAGAAAGUAGCAGGGUGACCGUGGGGCUCCACGUGGCCCUCCCUCACUCUCUGCCACGGGCCCUCCAAAAACAGGCUUCUGCCCCUCAGCGCCUCCAACAGCCUUUCCCCACCACCAGACAAAAGAUGAGCUGAGCUGCCCAGCUGGUGGAUCAGGGCUCUGAGGGUGGGCUAAACCAGUAGAGGCUUCCCCCAAACUCUGAUUCACCAGACGAGGAGAAACCCAGCCUUUUGGCCCCAAGAAUCCCGGUGCCCCACCCUGGAUCCAGCCCUGAGUGGGCCCUUAAAACUGUUUCCUCCCACCCCAAGUGCUUUGCAUCUAUUAUUCCCUUUGUGUCAAAAAGUCUUGUCCCCAUUUGCCCGGUUAAUUCUAAGUCAGCCAUCAGAGCUCAUGACACAGGUCGCUUCCUCAGGGAAGCCUUCCGUGACUGACACCCCUCCUGGCAGACCCCUGGUCAGAAUAAGUCCCUCCCUGUACCGUAGUCCACGUGGCUCUGCCAGCCCUUCCUUUGCAGCUUUGCGCAUGUUAAAUGUCAUGUUUCGUGGAUUUGUGUUGAUGAUAAGCUCCCGAUGCAGAGAUGGUAGGGACCAUCUCUGCUCACGUGUCUGUCCCCAGGCCCAGAAGACAGCCUGGCACACGGCAGGUGCCUGAUGAGCACUUGUGGACUGGAUGGCAUUGGCCAGUGUGCAUCUCCCAGGAACUCUGCUGUGAACUCCGCUUGGGCAGGGACAUGUCUGUUUUGUUCACCAUUGUGUCCCCAAAAUUCAAAGUCUUGCACCUAGAACACUCUUGUUGGAUAUUUGAUAAUGAGUGAGUUUGCUGCAAAAGGAAAAAAAGCAAGAACAAUAACAAUUACCACCAUAAAAUAAGAAAACGGACCCAGAAUAGAAUUUGAGGCAAGAGACCCUCUGAAUGAGGAGAUUCUAAGUCCUUUCAUUCCAGAAGAAUUAUCCUGUGUGCUUCAGUGAGCCAAAUCCCCAGGGAACAAAUGACAUCAGGGAAAGCUGCCUGAGCCCAGGACAAAAUCAACUAAAUUGCUCCAACUGGUAAACCUCCUGGCUCUCAUUUCAGCCCACUGAGUCUUAGAGAGUUGGUGGCGGGGGGCGGUGGGGGGGUUGGGGGUAGAGCAUAGAAUAGCAGGAGUGUGACUCUAAUGUAACCCAGGACAGGAAAUGUUUCCAAUGUUCUAAAUUUUGUGGACAAAGUAAAAUGUCAGGAAACAGGAAGCAAAAGAGUGGCUACAAUAUAUAAAGAAUUCAUUAAAAUAAACAAGAAAAACAUUGAGUUUAAUGUAGACAAACAGAGGACGUGAAAGAAUCACUUACAUAUGAAGAAACUAGAGUUGGGCAGUCAGCAUUCAUUGAAUGCUUAUCUGUAUUAGACACUGAAGUAAGUUUUACAUCUCACUUCAUUAGCACAGGGAGUAUAGCAAGAAAAUCCAACCAAAUGGCCAAGCACAGUGGCUCCCACCUAUAAUACCAGCACUUUGGGAGGCCAAGGUGGGAGAAUUACUCGAGCCCAAGAGUUCAAGAGAAGCCUGAGCAGCAUAGCGAGAUCUCAUCUCUACAGAUAAAAUAAUUGGCUAGGGAUGGUGGCACUCACCAGUGGUUCCGGCUACUGGGGAGGCUGAGGUGGGAGGAUCAUUUGAGUCCAGGAGGUCGAGGCUGCAGUGAGCCAUCCAGGAUAAUGCCACCACACUUCAGCCUGGGCGACAGAGAUCCUGUCAAAAAAAAAAAAAAGAAAGAAAGAAAAAAGAAAAAGAAAGAAGAAAGAAAGAAAGAAGAAAGAAAGAAAGAAAGAAAGAAAAUCCAACCAACAAAUGUACGUUUCUAAUUUUUUUGUAUAUUAUUUACAAAGUUCUAUAAUCCUUUUGUUUGUCCCAAGAAAAUUCCUGCAUUCCUGUCUUAAUUAAAU